CUCCUGAACCUAGUACACAUAUUAAAUCAAGGAGGCCUGAGCAGGUUUUAGCCCUGCUGCUGCACCUGCUUCUCCUGCUGCUGCCUCCUUGCUCCUGGUGCUGCCUUCCAGCUCCCAGCCCCGUGGCUUCUGCACUUCCCAGCCUCGGUGCUGCUGCUGAAGCAUUGUCAAGUCACUUGUGGUAUUCAAAGCCUUGUGAUGUGCUAUAUGCCAAUGACAGAGCAUGUCUCGUAGUGCACGAGCAACCCCAAGCACACAAAAUUAAGAUGCACACCUGCAGGAAAAGCCAGGACUUCCAAUUUUGAUAAAGACUUCUAUGUGAAGACCUGUCUCCGUUUCAGGAUGAAAUUCAUGCUCAGGGUGUGAGAGUUCAAGAAUACCAAUGUGGUCAGAUUAUUCACCUUGGUCUAGGAAAUAUCACCUGUAUGCUUUUUCAGCUGAAUCAAGCAGAUCACAGGGACUGACUGGAGUCCCUGCAGCCCAGAUGAAAGUCCCGAUCAUUUAGCAAUAGACAAUGCUGGGAUAUGUGCUCUCUCUCUCUCUCUUUUUUGGUAAGAAAUAUGACAAGUCUUGCUUUCAUUUGUGCUGGCAACAUUGCUGGAAUCCCAAAUGAGUCUUUGAUUGGAAAAGAUUAUUCAGCCCUACUCUGAAUUUUCCUUUGUGUUAUCUAGGAAGACCGACUUCCUUUUCAUGCAAGCACCUAGAAUCAUCUGGAGUUUCAAG
rnacentral:lncRNA from 1 species